rnacentral:rRNA from 1 species
UACGGAGGGUGCAAGCGUUAUCCGGAUUUACUGGGCGUAAAGGGCGCGUAGGCGGCCUGUUAAGUCGAACGUGAAAUCCCCGGGCUCAACCCGGGAACUGCGUCCGAUACUGGCUGGCUUGAAUCCGGGAGAGGGAUGCGGAAUUCCAGGUGUAGCGGUGAAAUGCGUAGAUAUCUGGAGGAAUACCGGUGGCGAAGGCGGCAUCCUGGACCGGCAUUGACGCUGAACAGCGAAAGCUAGGGGAGCAAACGGG